AGAUGAGUGUAAUUUGGUCAUUUG
rnacentral:siRNA from 1 species